UGUAAGCGUAUACCAAAGUUGUUGCAGUUAAAACGCUCGUAGUCGGAAUUUGGCAGUUCCGGAUGUGUGCACGUCGUGUGCGCACUUCGCGGGGAUUGCUUUUGUGGUCUUGCGUAGGAUGAGGCACUUUUAUUGGUGAACGUCCUCACGCAACCACUUUUUACUGUGAGAAAAUCAGAGUGCUCAAAGCAGGCAUUUGCCGUGAAUGUAUUAGCAUGGAAUAAUAGAAUAGGACUUGGUUCUAUUUUGUUGGUUUGUUGGGACUGAGUAAUGAUUAAGAGGGACAGUUGGGGGCAUUUGUAUUUCGGUGCUAGAGGUGAAAUUCUUAGAUUACCGAAAGACAAACUGCUGCGAAAGCGUCUGCCAAGGAUGUUUUCAUUGA
rnacentral:rRNA from 1 species